rnacentral:rRNA from 1 species
AUUGAACGCUGGCGGAAUGCUUUACACAUGCAAGUCGAACGGCAGCACGGGUGCUUGCACCUGGUGGCGAGUGGCGAACGGGUGAGUAAUAUAUCGGAACGUAUCCAAUAAUGGGGGAUAACUAAUCGAAAGGUUGGCUAAUACCGCAUACGUCCUACGGGAGAAAGCAGGGGACCUUCGGGCCUUGCGUUAAUGGAGCGGCCGAUAUCUGAUUAGCUAGUAGGUGAGGUAAAGGCUCACCUAGGCGACGAUCAGUAGCUGGUCUGAGAGGACGACCAGCCAAACUGGAACUGAGACACGGUCCAGCCUCCUACGGGAGGCAGCAGUGGGGAAUUUUGGACAAUGGGCGCAAGCCUGAUCCAGCCAUGCCGCGUGAGUGAAGAAGGCCUUCGGGUUGUAAAGCUCUUUCGGCCGGGAAAAAAUCGCAUGGGCUAAUACCCUGUGUGGAUGAUGGUACCGGAAUAAGAAGCACCGGCUAACUACGUGCCAGCAGCCGCGGUAAGAC